CAGGGGAAACAACACAGGUGUUCAUCAGUUAAUGAAUGAAAAGAUGAACAUAGAUAUGAAAAUUAUUAAUAAAAUAUUGACAAAUUACCUGAAAAAACACAUUUAAAAGAUAGUGUACCGGGCUAGGUUUGUGGCUCAAGUGGUAGAGUGCUCUCUUAGCAUAUGUGAGGCACUGGGUUCGAUCCUCAGCACCACAUAAAAAUAAAAUAAAAAGAUUUUAUCCACCUAAAACUAAAAAAUAAAUAUUUUUUAAAAAAGAGUACCAUAAUCAAUUGGUUAUCAGCCCAGAGAUACAAUCACUAAAUGUAGUUCACCACAAUAAAACAGACUUACAGAUAAGAAUCACAUCAUUAUCUCAUUAGAUGCAGAAAAAGCAUUUAACAAAGUUUAGUACUCACUGAUGUUUAAAACAGUAGAAAAACUAGGAAUAGAAGGCACUUAGCUCAACAUUGUACAGGCUAUAUAUGACAAACCCAAGGCAAACAUUAUUCUGAAUAGAGAAAGACAAAGUAUUUGCUUUAAAAACAGGAACAAGGAGAGGAAUGAACUAUUUCAUGCAAAUGGACACCAAAAGAAAGCAGGAGUAGCCAUACUAAUAUCAGAUAAAAUGACUUUAAAUCAAAACCAGUAAAAAGAGACAAUGAGGAUUAUUAUAUAAUGAUUAAGGUGUCAAUUCAGCAAGAGCAAAUCUUUAAAAAUAUAUGUGUGUGUAUAUGUAUAUAUAUCCAAUAUUAUAACACUCAAAUAAAGCAACUAUUAACAGACCUAAAGGUCAAACCAAUACAAUCCAUAGCUAGGGACUUUAACAUUGGACAAAUUAUCCAGACAGAAAAUCAACGAAGAAACGGUUAAAUUGCACCCAGUACCAAAGAGACCUAACAGAACAUGCUAUCCAACAGUUAGAGAAUGCAAAACUUUCUUAUUAGCAUAUGGAACGUUUUUCAGGAUAGAUCAUAUGGCAGUCCACAAAACAAGUUGCAGCAUAUUUUUUAAAAAAAUGAAAUCAUAUUGAGUGUCUUUUCUGAUCACAAUGCAAUAAAUAUAAAAAUCAAUAACAGAAAAAUCUUUGGAAACUAUAUAAAUACAUGGAAGAACUCAAAAAAGAAAUUUAAAAAUAAUUUUUGCCAGUGUAGUUAGUUCAGAACAUGCUUGUGUUUGUGUAUCAGAAUCAAGACUCAUAAGCAACCCAGCAUAUUUAAACCAUGAAAUGAUGAAAAUACUUUUUGAAACAUAACACUGGUCUCUCUCCCUCUUACAUUUUUAAAUAUAAGCCCUCAUUUUCUAUUUAAAUCAACUUCAAUGUGCAGUUCUACAGGCUAGAUAUUUGAAAAUCAGUGGUCAAGCUAAAAUGCUUUGAAUGGAAUAAACUAAAUUUCUGUAAACCAUGUAUCUGUUAAAUGUUUUACACAUUGUCUUUUAUAAUGUUUAUUUUGGGGGAUAUUGGUGGUUGAACCCAUGGCACUUAACCACUGAGUCACAUCUCCAGCCCUUUUUAUUUUUUGAGACAGUGUCUCGCUGAAUUGCCGAGGCUGUUCUUGAACUUUUGAUCCUCCUGUUUCAUCCUCCUGAGCUCCUGGGAUCACAGGCAUGCGCCACCAUUCC
rnacentral:lncRNA from 1 species